ACCAUCAGCAUCGGAUUGUUGAGGCAAGGCAGAGAGGCAUAAAUAUUCUCAGCUAAUGAGAUUCUGCUUUUCUGCAAAUCCCUAGGGAGUGAACAAGAGGGACAGAGAUUAUGACAUCAAGGGAGAAGCUUUGGUAAAUGGUUUCCCCAGAGCCUAUGCAAGCCAACAUUACAUUACCUCUGCAGGUUGAUUUACUGCUCCUCAGCAUAGACGCCAUGGGAGACGUCUCUCUUCAGACCACUGGGAUCAUGGAGAACAUUCGGCUGACGGGAAGACCACUGGAAAUAAAGCGAGAGCCGGUCCACGUUCUUUCAAAGCCGUGUGGGUACGGAGGAAUGGAGUGUCAAGAAAACAUUAACCCACCCGCGAUGCCCUCCAGUCAUUGCCAAACGCAAUCCUGAGUGCUGAGAACAAGUGAACGCUGACAGGAAUAAUGAUACUCUGUAUUUAUA